rnacentral:rRNA from 1 species
UUAAGCGACUAAGCGUACACGGUGGAUGCCCUGGCAGUCAGAGGCGAUGAAGGACGUGCUAAUCUGCGAUAAGCGUCGGUAAGGUGAUAUGAACCGUUAUAACCGGCGAUUUCCGAAUGGGGAAACCCAGUGUGAUUCGUCACACUAUCAUUAACUGAAUCCAUAGGUUAAUGAGGCGAACCGGGGGAACUGAAACAUCUAAGUACCCCGAGGAAAAGAAAUCAACCGAGAUUCCCCCAGUAGCGGCGAGCGAACGGGGAGCAGCCCAGAGCCUGAAUCAGUGUGUGUGUUAGUGGAAGCGUCUGGAAAGGCGCGCGAUACAGGGUGACAGCCCCGUACACAAAAAUGCACAUACUGUGAGCUCGAUGAGUAGGGCGGGACACGUGGUAUCCUGUCUGAAUAUGGGGGGACCAUCCUCCAAGGCUAAAUACUCCUGACUGACCGAUAGUGAACCAGUACCGUGAGGGAAAGGCGAAAAGAACCCCGGCGAGGGGAGUGAAAAAGAACCUGAAACCGUGUACGUACAAGCAGUGGGAGCACAGAGCAAUCUGUGUGACUGCGUACCUUUUGUAUAAUGGGUCAGCGACUUAUAUUCUGUAGCAAGGUUAACCGAAUAGGGGAGCCGAAGGGAAACCGAGUCUUAACUGGGCGUUAAGUUGCAGGGUAUAGACCCGAAACCCGGUGAUCUAGCCAUGGGCAGGUUGAAGGUUGGGUAACACUAACUGGAGGACCGAACCGACUAAUGUUGAAAAAUUAGCGGAUGACUUGUGGCUGGGGGUGAAAGGCCAAUCAAACCGGGAGAUAGCUGGUUCUCCCCGAAAGCUAUUUAGGUAGCGCCUCGUGAAUUCAUCUCCGGGGGUAGAGCACUGUUUCGGCAAGGGGGUCAUCCCGACUUACCAACCCGAUGCAAACUGCGAAUACCGGAGAAUGUUAUCACGGGAGACACACGGCGGGUGCUAACGUCCGUCGUGAAGAGGGAAACAACCCAGACCGCCAGCUAAGGUCCCAAAGUCAUGGUUAAGUGGGAAACGAUGUGGGAAGGCCCAGACAGCCAGGAUGUUGGCUUAGAAGCAGCCAUCAUUUAAAGAAAGCGUAAUAGCUCACUGGUCGAGUCGGCCUGCGCGGAAGAUGUAACGGGGCUAAACCAUGCACCGAAGCUGCGGCAGCGACGCUUAUGCGUUGUUGGGUAGGGGAGCGUUCUGUAAGCCUGUGAAGGUGUACUGUGAGGUAUGCUGGAGGUAUCAGAAGUGCGAAUGCUGACAUAAGUAACGAUAAAGCGGGUGAAAAGCCCGCUCGCCGGAAGACCAAGGGUUCCUGUCCAACGUUAAUCGGGGCAGGGUGAGUCGACCCCUAAGGCGAGGCCGAAAGGCGUAGUCGAUGGGAAACAGGUUAAUAUUCCUGUACUUGGUGUUACUGCGAAGGGGGGACGGAGAAGGCUAUGUUGGCCGGGCGACGGUUGUCCCGGUUUAAGCGUGUAGGCUGGUUUUCCAGGCAAAUCCGGAAAAUCAAGGCUGAGGCGUGAUGACGAGGCACUACGGUGCUGAAGCAACAAAUGCCCUGCUUCCAGGAAAAGCCUCUAAGCAUCAGGUAACAUCAAAUCGUACCCCAAACCGACACAGGUGGUCAGGUAGAGAAUACCAAGGCGCUUGAGAGAACUCGGGUGAAGGAACUAGGCAAAAUGGUGCCGUAACUUCGGGAGAAGGCACGCUGAUAUGUAGGUGAAGUCCCUCGCGGAUGGAGCUGAAAUCAGUCGAAGAUACCAGCUGGCUGCAACUGUUUAUUAAAAACACAGCACUGUGCAAACACGAAAGUGGACGUAUACGGUGUGACGCCUGCCCGGUGCCGGAAGGUUAAUUGAUGGGGUUAGCGCAAGCGAAGCUCUUGAUCGAAGCCCCGGUAAACGGCGGCCGUAACUAUAACGGUCCUAAGGUAGCGAAAUUCCUUGUCGGGUAAGUUCCGACCUGCACGAAUGGCGUAAUGAUGGCCAGGCUGUCUCCACCCGAGACUCAGUGAAAUUGAACUCGCUGUGAAGAUGCAGUGUACCCGCGGCAAGACGGAAAGACCCCGUGAACCUUUACUAUAGCUUGACACUGAACAUUGAGCCUUGAUGUGUAGGAUAGGUGGGAGGCUUUGAAGUGUGGACGCCAGUCUGCAUGGAGCCGACCUUGAAAUACCACCCUUUAAUGUUUGAUGUUCUAACGUUGACCCGUAAUCCGGGUUGCGGACAGUGUCUGGUGGGUAGUUUGACUGGGGCGGUCUCCUCCUAAAGAGUAACGGAGGAGCACGAAGGUUGGCUAAUCCUGGUCGGACAUCAGGAGGUUAGUGCAAUGGCAUAAGCCAGCUUGACUGCGAGCGUGACGGCGCGAGCAGGUGCGAAAGCAGGUCAUAGUGAUCCGGUGGUUCUGAAUGGAAGGGCCAUCGCUCAACGGAUAAAAGGUACUCCGGGGAUAACAGGCUGAUACCGCCCAAGAGUUCAUAUCGACGGCGGUGUUUGGCACCUCGAUGUCGGCUCAUCACAUCCUGGGGCUGAAGUAGGUCCCAAGGGUAUGGCUGUUCGCCAUUUAAAGUGGUACGCGAGCUGGGUUUAGAACGUCGUGAGACAGUUCGGUCCCUAUCUGCCGUGGGCGCUGGAGAACUGAGGGGGGCUGCUCCUAGUACGAGAGGACCGGAGUGGACGCAUCACUGGUGUUCGGGUUGUCAUGCCAAUGGCACUGCCCGGUAGCUAAAUGCGGAAGAGAUAAGUGCUGAAAGCAUCUAAGCACGAAACUUGCCCCGAGAUGAGUUCUCCCUGAGACUUUAAGUCUCCUGAAGGAACGUUGAAGACGACGACGUUGAUAGGCCGGGUGUGUAAGCGCAGCGAUGCGUUGAGCUAACCGGUACUAAUGAACCGUGAGGCUUAACCUU